GACGAACGCUGGCGGCGUGCUUAACACAUGCAAGUCGAACGAUGAAACCUAGCUUGCUAGGUCGAUUAGUGGCGAACGGGUGAGUAACACGUGACUAACCUGCCCCUUUCUCUGGGAUAACGCUCCGAAAGGAGUGCUAAUACCGGAUACUCACAUCGAGGCACAUGCCUUGGUGUGGAAAGUUUUUCGGAAAGGGAUGGAGUCGCGGCCUAUCAGCUUGUUGGUGAGGUAACGGCUCACCAAGGCGACGACGGGUAGCCGGCCUGAGAGGGCGACCGGCCACACUGGGACUGAGACACGGCCCAGACUCCUACGGGAGGCAGCAGUGGGGAAUAUUGCACAAUGGGCGCAAGCCUGAUGCAGCGACGCCGCGUGAGGGAUGAAGGUCUUCGGAUUGUAAACCUCUUUCAGUAGAGACGAAGCGAAAGUGACGGUACCUAAAGAAGAAGCACCGGCUAACUACGUGCCAGCCGCCGCGGUAA
rnacentral:rRNA from 1 species